AUCUUUGUGCAGUGGCAGUAUCAUAGCCAAUGAGGUUUAUCCAAGGCGCAAUUACUGCUCAUUGAGAAAGCAAGUAAGGGGAUCUCUUUGACAGGCAGGAAUUAGGUUCCUUAAUGUAGCAAAUGAAGGAACUCAGGGAGCUGA
ensembl:snRNA U4 U4 spliceosomal RNA